GGCUCAGAUUGAACGCUGGCGGCAGGCCUAACACAUGCAAGUCGAGCGGUAACAGAUUGAUAGCUUGCUAUCAAUGCUGACGAGCGGCGGACGGGUGAGUAAUGCCUGGGAAUAUACCCUGAUGUGGGGGAUAACUAUUGGAAACGAUAGCUAAUACCGCAUAAUCUCUUCGGAGCAAAGAGGGGGACCUUCGGGCCUCUCGCGUCAGGAUUAGCCCAGGUGGGAUUAGCUAGUUGGUGGGGUAAUGGCUCACCAAGGCGACGAUCCCUAGCUGGUCUGAGAGGAUGAUCAGCCACACUGGAACUGAGACACGGUCCAGACUCCUACGGGAGGCAGCAGUGGGGAAUAUUGCACAAUGGGGGAAACCCUGAUGCAGCCAUGCCGCGUGUAUGAAGAAGGCCUUCGGGUUGUAAAGUACUUUCAGUGUGAGGAAGGCG
rnacentral:rRNA from 1 species